rnacentral:rRNA from 1 species
UACCCGCAGCACAAGUGGUGGUCAUUAUUAUUGGGCCUAAAGCGUCCGUAGCUGGUUUGUUAAAUGCCUGGGUAAAUCGAUGCGCUUAACGUAUCGAACUCCGGGUAGACUGGCAAACUCGAGACCGGGAGAGGCAUGGGCUACUCGCGGGGUAGGGGUAAAAUCCUGUAAUCCUGCGGGGAACACCAAUGGCGAAGGCAGCUCGCUGGGACGGUACUGACGCUGAGACGCGAAAGCGUGGGGAGCAAACAGG